rnacentral:tRNA from 1 species
AAGGCUUUAGCUUAAUUAAAGUGUCUGCUUUGCAUGCAGAAGAUGUGGGUUAAUUUCCUGUAAGUCUUA